UCUAAUCAAAGAGCAUGGAUAGGGUGACAGAGUGGAUAUAAAAACAAUACCCAUCUAUAUGGUGCUUACAAAAGACUCAUUUCAGACCAAAAGCCACCUGCAGAUUAAAAGAGAGGGGG